rnacentral:rRNA from 1 species
GACGAACGCUGGCGGCGUGCUUAACACAUGCAAGUCGAGCGGUAAGGCCCUUCGGGGUACACGAGCGGCGAACGGGUGAGUAACACGUGGGUGACCUGCCCUCCACUUCGGGAUAAGCCUGGGAAACUGGGUCUAAUACCGGAUAGGACCACUGGACGCAUGUCUGGUGGUGGAAAGUUUUUUCGGUGGGGGAUGGGCCCGCGGUCUAUCAGCUUGUUGGUGGGGUGAUGGCCUACCAAGGCGACGACGGAUAGCCGGCCUGAGAGGGUGAUCGGCCACACUGGGACUGAGACACGGCCCAGACUCCUACGGGAGGCAGCAGUGGGGAAUCUUGCGCAAUGGGCGGAAGCCUGAUCCAGCAACGCCGCGUGAGGGAUGACGGCCUUCGGGUUGUAAACCUCUUUCAGUACCGACGAAGCGUGAGUGACGGUAGGUACAGAAGAAGGACCGGCCAACUACGUGCCAGCCGCCGCGGUAAAAC